UGCUCCUCUCACAUAUAUUUAAAGUGUUAACUGUGUUACCAUGAAAGAAGCCUGGAUUCUCUGACACACAUUAACAACGCCACCAUUACAAACACUGGGAUAAAAAUUGGUUACACUUGUGCUGAGGCAGGGAGGCUGGAGAGGGGACAACAAAAGGAAUGCUGAUGAAAUGGAGCAAGGGUUGCAGACCUCAAUGGCAGGGUAAUCAGCGGCAUGGGACACACCUGGGCCCGGUGUGCCCCAUGCAUAUAAGCCAGAGCAGCAGUCAGUCUUUUGUUGGACCUCCUCAUCUCACGGCUUCCUUUGUUUGGUUGGUUUCUUGUCUUUGUUUUUACAGCACAACAUCCAUGCGGCACAUUUUCACUCAUCUACUCCCUAAACUACUGACUUUACAGAUUCUUCCUACUCAUUGGUUUCGCUUAUUUUCUUAUUAAUAAAUCACUUUGUUAUUUAGUUUA